rnacentral:RNase_P_RNA from 1 species
UGAGUGUUACGGACGGUCGCGGGGGGCAAAACUCCCUGAGGAAAGUCCGGGCUGCAUAGGGCAAGGAUACCGGAUAACGUCCGGCGAUGGCGACAUUAGGACAAGUGCAACAGAAAUAGACUGCCCACACGCACAAACGUACGCUGUUCCGCAGCGGAUGGUGCGUCGGGGUGAUGGUGGAAAGGUAGGGUAAGAGCCUACCCGCCGGACGGUGAAACGUACCGGUGCUGUAAACUCUAUCCGCAGCAACGUUGGAGCCGCCGUUCAGUCGGCAGGGCUGCCCGCCCGGCUCCGUAUUCGGCUCGAGGACCGCGGCAACGCGGUUCCCAGAUAGAUGACCGUACAUUGACAAAACCCGGCUUACAGUAACACUCAUUCC